UGGGGAAUAUUGCGCAAUGGGGGAAACCCUGAUGCAGCGACGCCGCGUGAUUUAGAAGGCCUUCGGGUUGUAAAAAUCUUUUGUAUGGGAAGAAAAUGACAGUACCAUACGAAUAAGGACCGGCUAAUUACGUGCCAGCAGCCGCGGUAAUACGUAAGGUCCGAGCGUUGUCCGGAAUCAUUGGGCGUAAAGGGUACGUAGGCGGAUAAGCAAGUUAGAAGUGAAAUCCUAUAGCUCAACUAUAGUAAGCUUUUAAAACUGCUCAUCUUGAGGUAUGGAAGGGAAAGUGGAAUUCCUAGUGUAGCGGUGAAAUGCGCAGAUAUUAGGAGGAAUACCGGUGGCGAAGGCGACUUUCUGGCCAUAUACUGACGCUGAGGUACGAAAGCGUGGGUAGCAAACAGG
rnacentral:rRNA from 1 species